rnacentral:tRNA from 1 species
GGAGAGGUGACCGAGUAGGCCGAAGGUGCUCGCCUGCUAAGCGAGUUGUGGCCCAAAAGCUGCACCAGGGUUCGAAUCCCUGCCUCUCCGCCA